rnacentral:ncRNA from 1 species
UAAGUUUUACAGCUGCUCUUUGAUUAAUUUGAGUCAAAGCCUGAACUGAACCUUUACCAAAAGAUUUAGUCCCAAGUAUUAUCGCUCUUUUAUGAUCUUGCAACGCUCCUGCUACUAUUUCUGAAGCUGAAGCAGAAUUACCGUUUAUCAGGACUAUCAUAGGAACUUUUGGAGCUUUCAGUGAAAACUCAUUUGCUUUGGUUUCAGUAUCGAUCAAGUUAGCUCUACCUUUUGUCGUUAAUAUUAUACCGGAAUCAAUAAAGUAAUCACUAACAGCAAUUGCCUGUUCUAGUAUACCUCCUGCAUUAUUACGUAU